CAAUAUAAGAGAAAUUUUAGUUUUAAAGGUUUGUUCGCCGACAUAAGUUCACAAGCAUCUGUUCGUAACAAUCAUUGCGGGACCGUUGAAAUGAAGCUAGCCAUUGUCGGUGCCAUGCUAAGACUGUUACUAGCAGCAGCAACAUUAUUGUUUGCUUCAGUCUACGCGACUGGUUCGCUUCAGCAUCGAAAAUUCCGCUUUAGGCAGCGCGAUAGAAAACAGUAGCGUUUCUGCGCCUGAGCUUCAUUCAAGAUGUAAUGACGAUGGUGACACGCUAAUCUUAGGUAGUAAACCAUGAAUGAGAACAAUGGCGGAAUCUACGUAGGACUGGAAUAAAAACGAAAAACCUAUUUGACCCUUUAUAUCA